ensembl:snoRNA
UAGUGAAAUGAUGGCAGUCAUCUUUCGGGACUGACCUGCAAUGAAGAGGUCAAGUUAUUGCCUGUCACUU